UACGUAGGGUGCAAGCGUUGUCCGGAAUUACUGGGCGUAAAGCGUGCGCAGGCGGCUUUGCAAGACAGAUGUGAAAUCCCCGGGCUCAACCUGGGAACUGCAUUUGUGACUGCAAGGCUGGAGUACGGUAGAGGGGGAUGGAAUUCCGCGUGUAGCAGUGAAAUGCGUAGAUAUGCGGAGGAACACCGAUGGCGAAGGCAAUCCCCUGGACCUGUACUGACGCUCAUGCACGAAAGCGUGGGGAGCAAACAGG
rnacentral:rRNA from 1 species